rnacentral:rRNA from 1 species
AGUGAAUCGCUGGCUGGCAGUCAUAACUCAUUCAAGUGGAGCGUCAGCUCGGGGGAGCAAUGAUAUCGAGGCGAUCGACGGACGGGUGAUGACCACAUUGGAAUGAGGCCCAGUCGUGGGGGAAAAUGUAGGGAAACUUCCGUUAAUACCGCAUACCAUCUGAGGAUGAAAGCGGGGAGCUCGCAAGCCCUCGCGCGAUUGUAUGAGCCGAUGUCGGAUUAGCUAGUUGGAGGGGUAACGGCCCACCACGUUGAUGAUCCGUAAGCGGUGUGAGAGGAUGAUCAGCCACACUGGAACUGUGACACGGUCCAGACUCCUACGGGAGGCAGCAGUGGGGAAUCUUGGACAAUGGGCGCAAGCCUGAUCCAGCCAUGCCGGGUGGGUGAAGAAGGCCUUCGGGUUGUAAAGCCCUUUUGUCCGGGAAGAAAUCGUGUCGGUGAACAGCCGGCGCGGAUGACGGUACCGGAAGAAUAAGCACCGGCUAACUUCGUGCCAGCAGCCGCGGUAAUAGGAAGGUGCAAGCGUUGCUCGGAAUUACUGGGCGUAAAGCGUGCGUAGGCGGUUGCUUAAGUCCGUUGUGAAAGCCGUGGGCUCAACCUGGGAAGGGCAGUGGAGUCUGGGCAGCUGGAGUGCGGUAGUGGAGGGCGGAAUCCCCGGUGUAGCGGUGAAAUGCGUAGAGAUCGGGAGGAACAUCCGUGGCGAAGGCGGCCCUCUGGACCAGCACGGACGCUGAGGCACGAAAGCGUGGGGAGCAAACAGGAUUAGAUACCGUGGUAGUCCACGCCCUAAACGAUGCGAACUGGACGUUGGGGGGAACUUGCCGUUCAGUGUAGAAGCUAACGCGUUAAGUUCCCCUCCCCGGGAGUACGGUCGCAAGACGGAAACUCAAAUGAAUCGACGGGG